rnacentral:rRNA from 1 species
CGGGAAAACGAGAGAAGGUGGUGCAUGGGUGUGUCGUCAGCUCGUGUCGUGAGAUGUUGGGUUAAUGUCCCGCAACGAGCGCAACCUUAUCUUCAGUAGCCAGCAGGUAAGGNGCUGGGACACCUCUGGGAGGAGACGUGCCAGGAAUAACCGUGGGAGGAAGGUGGGGAUGACGUCAAAUCAUCAUGCCCCUUAUGGGCAGGGGCUACACACGUGCUACAAUGGGCGUAAACAAAGGGAGGCAGAGCCGCGAGGCCGACAAAUCUCAAAAAUAACGUCUCAGUUCGGAUUGUAGUCUGCAACUCGACUACAUGAAGCUGGAAUCGCUAUUAAUCGCGAAUCAAAUGUCGCGGUGAAUACGUUCCCGGGUCUU